rnacentral:rRNA from 1 species
UACGGAGGGGGCUAGCGUUAUUCGGAAUUAUUGGGCGUAAAGGGCGCGUAGGCGGCCCGGUAAGUCAAAGGUGAAAUCCCUCGGCUCAACUGAGGAACUGCCUUUGAAACUGUCGGGCUUGAGGCCGGGAGGGGGUAGCGGAAUUCCCAGUGUAGCGGUGAAAUGCGUAGAUAUUGGGAAGAACACCGAUGGCGAAGGCAGCCAUCUGGACCGACACUGACGCUGAGGCGCGAAAGCGUGGGGAGCAAACAGG